rnacentral:rRNA from 1 species
GACGAACGCUGGCGGCGUGCUUAACACAUGCAAGUGGUGCGACGAACCAGGGCUUGCCCUGGGGCAAAGCCGCGAACGGGUGAGUAACACGUGGGUAAUCUGCCCCGAUGACCGGGACAACCCGAGGAAACUCGGGCUAAUACCGGAUGAUGAGCCUUGGCGUAAGCCUUGUCUCUAAAGGAAGCUUCGGCCUCCGCAUUGGGAGGAGCCCGCGGCCCAUUAGCUUGUUGGUGGGGUAACGGCCUACCAAGGCGACGAUGGGUAGCUGGUCUGAGAGGACGAUCAGCCACACUGGGACUGAGACACGGCCCAGACUCCUACGGGAGGCAGCAGUGGGGAAUCUUGCGCAAUGCGCGAAAGCGUGACGCAGCAACGCCGCGU